rnacentral:tRNA from 1 species
GGUGAUGUAGCUCAAUGGUAGAGAGCUUACCUAGCAAGCAUGAGGCCCUGGGUUUGACCCCCAGCACUG